AUGAACGCUGGCGGCGUGCCUAAUACAUGCAAGUCGAGCGAACAGACGAGGAGCUUGCUCCUCUGACGUUAGCGGCGGACGGGUGAGUAACACGUGGAUAACCUACCUAUAAGACUGGGAUAACUUCGGGAAACCGGAGCUAAUACCGGAUAAUAUAUUGAACCGCAUGGUUCAAUAGUGAAAGACGGUUUUGCUGUCACUUAUAGAUGGAUCCGCGCCGCAUUAGCUAGCUGGUAAGGUAACGGCUUACCAAGGCAACGAUGCGUAGCCGACCUGGGAGGGUGAUCGGCCACACUGGAACUGAGACACGGUCCAGACUCCUACGGGAGGCAGCAGUAGGGAAUCUUCCGCAAUGGGCGAAAGCCUGACGGAGCAACGCCGCGUGAGUGAUGAAGGUCUUCGGAUCGUAAAACUCUGUUAUUAGGGAAGAACAAAUGUGUAAGUAACUAUGCACGUCUUGACGGUACCUAAUCAGAAAGCCACGGCUAACUACGUG
rnacentral:rRNA from 1 species